GUAAUCAUGGCCACGCUGUCUCCACCCAAGACUCAGUGAAAUUGAAAUUGCAGUGAAGAUGCUGUGUCCCCGCACCUAGACGGAAAGACCCCGUGAACCUUUACUAUAGCUUGGCACUGAACAUUGACCCUACAUGUGUAGGAUAGGUGGGAGACUUUGAAGCAUUGUCGCUAGAUGAUGUGGAGUCUACCUUGAAAUACCACCCUUGUAGGUUUGAUGUUCUAACAUAGGUCCCUUAUCGGGAUUGUGGACAGUGUCUGGUGGGUAGUUUGACUGGGGCGGUCUCCUCCCAAAGCGUAACGGAGGAGCACGAAGGUUGGCUAAUCCUGGUCGGACAUCAGGAGGUUAGUGCAAUGGCAUAAGCCAGCUUAACUGCGAGACAGACACGUCGAGCAGGUACGAAAGUAGGUCAUAGUGAUCCGGUGGUUCUGAAUGGAAGGGCCAUCGCUCAACGGAUAAAAGGUACUCCGGGGAUAACAGGCUGAUACCGCCCAAGAGUUCAUAUCGACGGCGGUGUUUGGCACCUCGAUGUCGGCUCAUCACAUCCUGGGGCUGAAGUCGGUCCCAAGGGUAUGGCUGUUCGCCAUUUAAAGUGGUACGCGAGCUGGGUUUAGAACGUCGUGAGACAGUUCGGUCCCUAUCUGGUGUGGGCGUUGGAUGAUUGAAGGGAGCUGCUCCUAGUACGAGAGGACCGGAGUGGACAAACCUCUGGUGUACCGGUUGUCACGCCAGUGGCAUAGCCGGGUAGCUAAGUUUGGAUAAGAUAAGCGCUGAAAGCAUCUAAG
rnacentral:rRNA from 1 species